GACUGCAGCUGGAAAAUGGCGGCGUCCGUGGUCUGUCGGGCCGCUACCGCCGGGGCACAAGUGCUAUUGCGCGCCCGCCGCUCGGUGAGGUGGUGGUGAGAGCGCGGGGCUUCGGGACAGGGCUUCGGGAAGCGGACGGCCGGCCCUGCUGCGGACGCCAGCCUUGCGGAGUACGGCAACCUUCGCUCAGGCGCUCCAGUUCGUGCCGGAGACGCAGGUUAGCCUGCUGGACAACGGCCUGCGUGUGGCCUCCGAGCAGUCCUCUCAGCCCACUUGCACGGUGGGAGUGUGGAUUGAUGUUGGCAGCCGUUUUGAGACUGAGAAGAAUAAUGGGGCGGGCUACUUUUUGGAGCAUCUGGCUUUCAAGGGAACAAAGAAUCGGCCUGGCAGUGCCCUGGAGAAGGAGGUGGAGAGCAUGGGGGCCCAUCUUAAUGCCUACAGCACCCGGGAGCACACAGCUUACUACAUCAAGGCGCUGUCCAAGGAUCUGCCGAAAGCUGUGGAGCUCCUGGGUGACAUUGUGCAGAACUGUAGUCUGGAAGACUCACAGAUUGAGAAGGAACGUGAUGUGAUCCUGCGGGAGAUGCAGGAGAAUGAUGCAUCUAUGCGAGAUGUGGUCUUUAACUACCUGCAUGCCACAGCAUUCCAGGGCACACCUCUAGCCCAGGCUGUGGAGGGGCCCAGUGAGAAUGUCAGGUGAGAGUUGGCUGGCCUUGUGGUGGGAUGCUUGCUCCAUUCUGGCCUGGCCAGACCCUUUCCAGGUCACAUUUUUAGUUGGCUAGCUGUCUGUCGGGGUUAUUUUCCUGAGUUAUGCAACUGGAGACAGUUUCUGUAUCCAUGUGGUCCAGUGAGUCUUUUUUAAUGGCUUUGUGGGCUUCACUUGAAUUUUGGGCUUUGUUUUAAGGUAUGUUUUGGUGCAUGUCCUGACAGUCCAA
rnacentral:sRNA from 1 species